GCUUAGGCCCAGCACUGAGAGUCCACUGGCUCACGCAAUCUUCCAGUAGCUGAGGUUGGUUCCCUGACCGAGAAUCAAACCUGGGCCACGGCGGAUGCUAGUCACUAGUCCACCAGGGAACCUCCAGAAGCACCUCAUUACAGAAGGAUAAAAGAACCACAGACUUACUGACUAAGCUUCAUGGACCCAUGGGGUUCCCCAGCCUUCACUCUGAGAAAGACUGAGCUACACUUUCAGUUAAUCAGGAGCAGAAAAGCAACCAGUUGCAGAGGUGAACUACCUCUUCACAUACUGUACAUUUCAUGUUUUUUUUGUUUUGUUUUGGUUUUUUUUACAUAUGAUGAUGUGAAUAAUAUGUGAUCUCACAUGUCAAAAUAUGUGAAGGUGC
ensembl:lncRNA